GGUAGUGACUUUUCCAGAUGAAAUUUUUUCCUCGCAUUUGGCGACCGUGAACUUGAGUUGUAAACAGAUUUUUUGUAAUUCAUUUAAGUUUCAUACUUGUUUCUCUUCGAGUGAUUGCAACAAUAGAAUUAGUCAGCGAUUAAAAUUUGCCAUAUCUUCAUGCCAACCACAAGGAUUCGGCUUUUUCACACACCUUUAUUAUUAAUGUGGUUCUUCAGAACGGUGGUCCUCAAGUUCGUUGAUAUCAUUGGGGGGCGAAGAGGCUACCACCAAUGCCACUAUGACCAAAUGCCGACUCGACGAUUUCCAUGCAAGAUGAAUGUUACAAAUCCAAGGAGAUCUGGUGAGCAGGGUGCAACGGACUAUCAACCAUCAGUUCCCCAGAACAAGAGGUUAAUAAUCAUAUUGGAUCAAAACAGGCACCAAGUUAAACGAGAUUUUAAAAUAACAGUUGGAAGCGCAUGUGGAAAUUUCGAAGAACGCUACCUAAACGUUACCUUGAGUCGCUGAUUCAUCUUGAAGAAAAAAUAAGUAAUUUUAUAAAUUGAAGUGCAUACCUGGGCUCCCUUCUUUUCUGUGGCCCCGUUUCCCCUUGACUUAUGAUAAGCCCGUAGGGGGUCAUGCCCCUACUGUGAUCAGCA